rnacentral:rRNA from 1 species
GCAAUCCCUAGUGGCGAACGGCGGAGUAAUACAUGAACAACGUGCCCUGAAGUCCGGGACAAACGCAGAAAUGCCAUAAAUACCGGAUGUGGCCCCGACCUGGCAUCAGGAUGGGAUUAAACGGUUUUUCGCUUCAGGAGCGGUUCAUGGCCUAUCAGGUAGUUGGUGGGGUAAUGGCCUACCAAGCCGACGACAGGUAGCGGGUCUGAGAGGAUGAUCCGCUCGAGUGGGACUGAGACACGGCCCACACACCUACGGGUGGCAGCAGUUGGGAAUCUUGCACAAUGGGGGAAACCCUGAUGCAGCGACGCCGCGUGGAGGAUGACGGAUCUAGGUCUGUAAACUCCUUUUUCAUGGAAAGACUUAGGACGGUACCAUGAGAAUAAGGACCGGCUAACUACGUGCCAGCAGCCGCGGUAAGACGUAGGGUCCAAGCGUUGUCCGGAUUUACUGGGCGUAAAGAGCGCGUAGGCGGUCUGUUAAGUGUGAAGUGAAAUCUCCAGGGCUCAACCCGGAAACUGCUUCGCAUACUGGCAGACUUGAGGAAUGCAGAGGUUUGUGGAAUUCCUGGUGUAACGGUGAAAUGUGUUGAUAUCAGGAGGAACACCCAUGGCGAAGGCAGCAAACUGGGCAUUAUCUGACGCUGAGGCGCGAAAGCGUGGGUAGCAAACAGGAUUAGAUACCCUGGUAGUCCACGCCCUAAACGAUGCAUACUAGGCGUAAGAGGUAUCGACCCCUCUUGUGCCGCAGCUAACGCAUUAAGUAUCCCGCCUGGGGAGUACGGCCGCAAGGUU